rnacentral:rRNA from 1 species
GGAUGAACGCUAGCGGCAGGCUUAAUACAUGCAAGUCGAACGGUUACAGCAAUGUGACGAGUGGCGCACGGGUGAGUAACGCGUACAUAACAUACCUUUAACUGGCGAAUAGCCUUGGGAAACUGAGAGUAAUACGCCAUAACAUUGUAGCUUGGCAUCAGGCAGCAAUUAAAGUUCCGGCGGUUAGAGAUUGAUGUGCGUUGGAUUAGAUAGUUGGUGAGGUAACGGCUCACCAAGUCAACGAUCCAUAGGGGGCGUGAGAGCGUGGUCCCCCACACGGGUACUGAGACACGGACCCGACUCCUACGGGAGGCAGCAGUAAGGAAUAUUGGUCAAUGGGGGCAACCCUGAACCAGCCAUGCCGCGUGCGGGAUGAAGGCGUUCUGCGUCGUAAACCGCUUUUAGAGGGGAAUAAAUCCCGAUACGUGUAUCGGACUGAAGGUACCCUCGGAAUAAGCACCCGGCUAACUCCGUGCCAGCAGCCGCGGUAAUACGGAGGGUGCAAGCGUUAUCCGGAAUCACUGGGUUUAAAGGGUGCGUAGG